rnacentral:rRNA from 1 species
AAUUUUGGACAAGGGGGGGAGGCAUGAUCCGGCCAUGCCGCGUGAGUGAUGAAGGCCUUAGGGUCGUAAAGAUCUUUCGCCUGUGAGGAUAAUGACGGUAGCAGGUAAAGAAACCCCGGCUAAUUCCGUUGCAGCAGCCGCGGUAAUACGGAGGGGGUUAGCGUUGUUCGGAAUUACUGGGCGUAAAGCGCACGUAGGCGGACUGGAAAGUAUGGGGUGAAAUCCCAGGGCUCAACCCUGGAACUGCUUCAUAAACUAUCAGUCUAGAGUUCGAGAGAGGUGAGUGGAAUUCCAAGUGUAGAGGUGAAAUUCGUAGAUAUUUGGAGGAACACCAGUGGCGAAGGCGGCUCACUGGCUCGAUACUGACGCUGAGGUGCGAAAGUGUGGGGAGCAAACAGGAUUAGAUACCCUGGUAGUCCACACCGUA